GGAGAGAUGGCUGAGUGGCCGAAAGCACAGGUUUGCUAAACCUGCGAGGGGCAACCCUCCGAGGGUUCGAAUCCCUCUCUCUCCGCCA
rnacentral:tRNA from 1 species